GACGGCCCGCUGCUCAAUUUAUUGCAGUUCGAACGAGCUUCCGUUUGAAUUGACGUUGCUUGCACUGAUUUUCAACAAUGAAGCGAGUUGGCGAACUUGGUGAGUAACACGUGGGGAAUCUGCCCAGAAGCAGGGGAUAACACUUUGGAAACAGGUGCUAAUACCGUAUAACAACAAAAUCCGCAUGGAUUUUGUUUGAAAGGUGGCUUCGGCUAUCACUUCUGGAUGAUCCCGCGGCGUAUUAGUUAGUUGGUGAGGUAAAGGCCCACCAAGACGAUGAUACGUAGCCGACCUGAGAGGGUAAUCGGCCACAUUGGGACUGAGACACGGCCCAAACUCCUACGGGAGGCAGCAGUAGGGAAUCUUCCACAAUGGACGAAAGUCUGAUGGAGCAAUGCCGCGUGAGUGAAGAAGGGUUUCGGCUCGUAAAACUCUGUUGUUAAAGAAGAACACCUUUGAGAGUAACUGUUCAAGGGUUGACGGUAUUUAACCAGAAAGCCACGGCUAACUACGUGCCAGCAGCCGCGGUAAUACGUAGGUGGCAAGCGUUGUCCGGAUUUAUUGGGCGUAAAGCGAGCGCAGGCGGUUUUUUAAGUCUGAUGUGAAAGCCUUCGGCUUAACCGGAGAAGUGCAUCGGAAACUGGGAGACUUGAGUGCAGAAGAGGACAGUGGAACUCCAUGUGUAGCGGUGGAAUGCGUAGAUAUAUGGAAGAACACCAGUGGCGAAGGCGGCUGUCUAGUCUGUAACUGACGCUGAGGCUCGAAAGCAUGGGUAGCGAACAGGAUUAGAUACCCUGGUAGUCCAUGCCGUAAACGAUGAGUGCUAAGUGUUGGAGGGUUUCCGCCCUUCAGUGCUGCAGCUAACGCAUUAAGCACUCCGCCUGGGGAGUACGACCGCAAGGUUGAAACUCAAAGGAAUUGACGGGGGCCCGCACAAGCGGUGGAGCAUGUGGUUUAAUUCGAAGCUACGCGAAGAACCUUACCAGGUCUUGACAUCUUCUGCCAAUCUUAGAGAUAAGACGUUCCCUUCGGGGACAGAAUGACAGGUGGUGCAUGGUUGUCGUCAGCUCGUGUCGUGAGAUGUUGAGUUAAGUCCCGCAACGAGCGCAACCCUUAUUAUCAGUUGCCAGCAUUCAUUUGGGCACUCUGGUGAGACUGCCGGUGACAAACCGGAGGAAAGUCGGGGAUGAAGUUAAAUCGACCUGGCCCCUUAAUGACCUGGGGCCUAAAAACUGCCCAGAUGGGACCGGUCAAACAAAGUUCGUAAGGUGGAGAGGUUACCCCACCUCCUUAAAAGCCAUUCCCCCGUUCGAAAUUUAAGUAGCAAUCCCGCCCAACCGGAAAUUGUAAAACCCCUAACAAUCGGGGAUUAAUAUGUUCCCGAAGGAAAACAAUCACCGGGAUUUCCGGAACCAAUUACCCGCGCCGGUGAAAUUAACUACCACUCAACUAACCUAAUUAAUAUCUUACGUAAAUUAACCC
rnacentral:rRNA from 1 species